GCAAGUUGCGCCCGAAGCCAUUAGGUUGAGGGCACGCCUGCCUGGGUGUCGCACGUCGUUGCCCCGACACGCCGGUGCCUCGUGCUGGGCGCCGAGCGGGGCGAGCGUUGGCCUCCCGUGAGCGUGGGCUCGCGGUUGGUUGAAAACCGAGUCCGUGGUGGAGCGCACCGCGAUGGAGGGUGGUUGAGUAGUAAAUGCUCGAGACCUGUCGCGCGUGUCUCUCUACCUGCUCCGGCACUCUGUGACCCACGAGCGUCGAUCGAUCGCCCGUAACGGGACCUCAGGUCAGGCGGGGCUACCCGCUGAGUUUA
rnacentral:rRNA from 1 species